AUGCUUUCGGCCCCUCUUCUUUUCACCCUCCUCACCUACUGCUCAGGUGCCUUCGCCCAGUAUCUCCUGACCCAGCCGCCCUCUGUGUCUGGGUCCCUGGGGCAAAAUGCAAGAGUCACUUGUGCCGGAAACAACAUUGGAGGAAAGAAGGUUCGGUGGUACCAGCAGAAGCCUGGGAGUCCCCCUGUCCUGAUUAUAUAUGCCGAUAGCCAGAGAUAGCCCCACCGGGACCUCAGACCGAUUCUCUGGCACCAACUCUGGCAACACGGCCACCCUCAGCUUCUCAGCAGUGUUUUCAAAGCAAGCUUAA